rnacentral:rRNA from 1 species
UGGGGAAUAUUGCACAAUGGGCGCAAGCCUGAUGCAGCCAUGCCGCGUGUGUGAAGAAGGCCUUCGGGUUGUAAAGCACUUUCAGCGAGGAGGAAGGUGGUGAGCUUAAUACGCUCAUCAAUUGACGUUACUCGCAGAAGAAGCACCGGCUAACUCCGUGCCAGCAGCCGCGGUAAUACGGAGGGUGCAAGCGUUAAUCGGAAUUACUGGGCGUAAAGCGCACGCAGGCGGUUUGUUAAGUCAGAUGUGAAAUCCCCGGGCUCAACCUGGGAACUGCAUUUGAAACUGGCAAGCUAGAGUCUCGUAGAGGGGGGCUAGAAUUCCAGGUGUAGCGGUGAAAUGCGUAGAGAUCUGGAGGAAUACCGGUGGCGAAGGCGGCCCCCUGGACGAAGACUGACGCUCAGGUGCGAAAGGCGUGGGGGCAGCAAACAGGAUUAGAUACCCUGGUAGUCCACGCUGUAAACGAUGUCGAUUUUGGAGGUUGUGCCCCUUGAGGCGUGGCUUCCGGAGCUAACGCGUUAAAUCGACCGCC